GACGAACGCUGGCGGCGUGCUUCACACAUGCAAGUCGAGAGGAGCGGCGAACGGGUGAGUAACGCGUGAGUAACUUCCCCCCUCUCUGGGAUAACAGUUGGAAAAGGAUGGUAAUACCGGAAAGUUGGGGAUGACUCGCGUACUAUCAGCUUGUUGGUGGGGUAGUGGCCUAGCAGGGCGACGCCGGGUAGCCGGCCUGAGAGGGCGACAGGCAACAUUGGGCCUGUAUCCGGCCCAAACUCCUACGGGAGGCAGCAGUGGGGAAUAUUGCACAAUGGGGGAAACCCUGAUGCAGCAACGCGCGUGCGGGAUGACGGCCUUCGGGUUGUAAACCGCUUUCAGCCAUGACGCGGUAGUGGCAGAAGAAGCACCAGCUAACUACGUGCCAGCAGCCGCGGUAAUAC
rnacentral:rRNA from 1 species